rnacentral:rRNA from 1 species
UCGAUUACAUAGCGAUCCAGCUUCAUGGUCCCGGGUUGCAGACCCCAAUCCGAACUGAGGAUGGCUUUAAGGAUUGGACCGGUGUUGCCACAGGCCGACUCUCUGUACCACCCAUUGUAACACGUGUGUAGCCCCGGACGUAAGGGCCGUGCUGAUUUGACGUCAUCCCCACCUUCCUCGCACCUUACGGUGGCAGUGUCGCCAGAGUCCCCACCCGAAGUGAUGGUAACUGGCGAAAGGGGUUGCGCUCGUUAUGGCACUUAAGCCGACACCUCACGGCACGAGCUGACGACAACCAUGCAGCACCUCCACAGGAGUCCCGAAGGACCUCAUCAUCUCUGAAUCGUUCUCCUGCAGUUCAAGCCCGGGUAAGGUUCCUCGCGUAUCAUCGAAUUAAACCACAUGUUCCUCCGCUUGUGCGGGCCCCCGUCAAUUCCUUUGAGUUUCACCGUUGCCGGCGUACUCCCCAGGUGGGAUGCUUAACGCCUUCGCUUGGCCGCUUACUGUAUAUCGCAAACAGCGGGCAUCCAUAGUUUACCGUGCGGACUACCAGGGUAUCUAAUCCUGUUCGAUACCCGCACCUUCGAGCUUCAGCGUCAGUAAGGCUACAGCAUGCUGCCUUCGCAAUCGGAGUUCUUCGUGAUAUCUAAGCAUUUCACCGCUACACCACGAAAUUCCGCAUACUUUCAGCCAACUCAAGCCCGCCAGUUC